rnacentral:sRNA from 1 species
GUUUUUCAUGAUAUACAUGUGACUCCAUCAAGCUUUGGCGUGUCCACACACACACACACA